AUUGAACGCUGGCGGCAGGCCUAACACAUGCAAGUCGAGCGAGCGGCGGACGGGUGAGUAAUGUAUGGGGACUGCCCGAACGAGGGGGAUAACUACUGGAAACGGUGGCUAAUACCGCAUACCGUCGGAUAACCCAUAUGGGAUUAGCUAGUAGGUAAGGUAAUGGCUUACCUAGGCGACGAACCCUAGCUGGUCUGCGAGGAUGACCAGCCACAAUGGGACUGAGACACGGCCCAGACUCCGACGGAGGCAGCAGUGGGGAAUAUUGCACAAUGGGCGAAAGCCUGAUGUAGCCAUGCCGCGUGUAUGAAGAAGGCCUGAGGGGUGUAAAGUACUUUCAGUAGGGAGGCGUUACCGACAGAAGAAGCACCGGCUAACUCCGUGCCAGCCGCCGCGGUAAUAC
rnacentral:rRNA from 1 species